rnacentral:tRNA from 1 species
UAGCCUAGUGAUUAAGGCUAUGGAUUGCCAAUCCGGAGACGGCGGGUUCGAAUCCCGU